rnacentral:rRNA from 1 species
ACGAAGCACUUAAGAAUGAUUCUUCGGAUGAUUUCUCUUGUGACUUAGUGGCGGACGGGUGAGUAACGCGUGGGUAACCUGCCUCACACAGGGGGAUAACAGUUGGAAACGACCGCUAAUACCGCAUAACCCGCUAGGGCCGCAUGGCCCGGACGGAAAAGAUUUAUCGGUGUGAGAUGGACCCGCGUUGGAUUAGCUAGUUGGCAGGGUAACGGCCUACCAAGGCGACGAUCCAUAGCCGGCCUGAGAGGGUGAACGGCCACAUUGGGACUGAGACACGGCCCAAACUCCUACGGGAGGCAGCAGUGGGGAAUGUUGCACAAUGGGGGAAACCCUGAUGCAGCGACGCCGCGUGAGUGAAGAAGUAUUUCGGUAUGUAAAGCUCUAUCAGCAGGGAAGAAAAUGACGGUACCUGACUAAGAAGCCCCGGCUAACUACGUGCCAGCAGCCGCGGUAAUACGUAGGGGGCAAGCGUUAUCCGGAUUUACUGGGUGUAAAGGGAGCGUAGACGGCUAAGCAAGUCAGAAGUGAAAGGCUGGGGCUCAACCCCGGGACUGCUUUUGAAACUGUUUGGCUAGAGUGCUGGAGAGGUAAGCGGAAUUCCUAGUGUAGCGGUGAAAUGCGUAGAUAUUAGGAGGAACACCAGUGGCGAAG